UUCUGCUGACGAAAGUCUGACCUUGUAAGAUAUAAUCUUUAUCUUACUAAAAUUGACUUGAAACCAUGGUACAGAAUAUAGAUUGUGAGAUAUUCUAUAAAGUGCCGUAUAAGCUGAUAUGCAAGAUGGAUCGCUUUUACUUUUAACUGUGACAAAAUUAUUGCCAAACGCCGAAAGCGACCGCGUUACGGAUGGAAUAAGUACUAGCAAUAAAUUCUACACAGAUCCUGUAUUCCUGCCAUAAAAGAGAGAGAAUUACAUACGUCAAUAAAAACAUCGCAUCCUGAUAAUGAAACUGUGAA